GUUAGGAAUCUUCCCCAAUGGGCGAAAGCCUGAGGGAGCGACGCCGCGUGAGGGAUGAAGCUUCUCGGAGUGUAAACCUCUGAAUAAGGGACGAAAAUUGACGGUACCUUAGUAACAGCACCGGCUAACUCCGUGCCAGCAGCCGCGGUAAUACGGAGGGUGCAAGCGUUACCCGGAAUCACUGGGCGUAAAGGGCGCGUAGGCGGUCCUGUAAGUCUGAUUUAAAAGACCGAAGCUCAACUUCGGGUCUGGGUUGGAUACUGCAGAACUAGACGGCUGGAGGGGAGAGUGGAAUUCUCGGUGUAGCGGUGAAAUGCGGAGAUACCGAGAGGAACACCAGUAGCGAAGGCGGCUCUCUGGACAGUACGUGACGCUGAGGCGCGAAAGUGUGGGGAGCAAACCGGAUUAGAAACCCUAGUAGUCC
rnacentral:rRNA from 1 species